rnacentral:tRNA from 2 species
GCCCAUGUAGUCCAACGCAGAGACAACCGCCUCAGAAGCGGUCCAGUGCGGGUGCGAGUCCUGCCAUGGGCA